AUGGCUCAGAUGAACGCUGGCGGCGUGCUUAACACAUGCAAGUCGCGCGUGAAAGGACUUCGGUCCGAGUAAAGCGGCGCACGGGUGAGUAACGCGUGGAUGAUCUACCCAUGAGUUAGGAAUAACGGCUGGAAACGGUCGCUAAUACCAAAUACGCUCCGAUUUCAACUUCGGGGGAAAGGUGGCCUCUGCUUGCAAGCUACUGCUCAUGGAUGAGUCCGCGUCCCAUUAGCUAGUUGGUGGGGUAACGGCCCACCAAGGCGACGAUGGGUAGCCGGUCUGAGAGGAUGACCGGCCACACUGGGACUGGAACACGGCCCAGACUCCUACGGGAGGCAGCAGUGGGGAAUAUUGCGCAAUGGGCGAAAGCCUGACGCAGCGACGCCGCGUGAGGGGAAUGAAGGUCCUCGGAUCGUAAACCUCUGUCAGGAGGGAAGAACCGCCACGGUGCUAAUCAGCCGUGGUCUGACGGUACCUCCAAAGGAAGCACCGGCUAACUCCGUGCCAGCCGCCGC
rnacentral:rRNA from 1 species